GGUCUAUCAGUCUAGUUGGUUAGGACGUCGGAUUCUGAUCCAAAAAUCAGUUCCUUCCGUAAGCCCAGGUUCGAAUCCUGGAUGGACCU
rnacentral:tRNA from 1 species